UACGUAGGAGACGAGCGUUGUCCGGAAUCACUGGGCGUAAAGCGCGUGUAGGCGGAUCGGCAAGUCUGCUGUGAAAGCUCCUGGCUUAACCGGGAGUGGUCGGUGGAAACUGCCAGUCUGGAGGACGGUAGAGGUAGGUAGAAUUCCCGGUGUAGUGGUGAAAUGCGUAGAGAUCGGGAGGAAUACCUGUGGCGAAGGCGGCCUACUGGGCCGGACCUGACGCUGAGACGCGAAGGCGUGGGGGAGCGAACGGG
rnacentral:rRNA from 1 species